rnacentral:rRNA from 1 species
GACGAACGCUGGCGGCGUGCCUAAUACAUGCAAGUUGAGCGCUGAAGGUUGGUACUUGUACCAACUGGAUGAGCAGCGAACGGGUGAGUAACGCGUGGGGAAUCUGCCUUUGAGCGGGGGACAACAUUUGGAAACGAAUGCUAAUACCGCAUAAAAACUUUAAACACAAGUUUUAAGUUUGAAAGAUGCAAUUGCAUCACUCAAAGAUGAUCCCGCGUUGUAUUAGCUAGUUGGUGAGGUAAAGGCUCACCAAGGCGAUGAUACAUAGCCGACCUGAGAGGGUGAUCGGCCACAUUGGGACUGGGACACGGCCCAAACUCCUACGGGAGGCAGCAGUAGGGCAUCUUCGGCAAUGGACGAAAGUCUGACCGAGCAACGCCGCGUGAGUGAAGAAGGUUCUCGGAUCGUAAAACUCUGUUGGUAGAGAAGAACGUUGGUGAGAGUGGAAAGCUCAUCAAGUGACGGUAACUACCCAGAAAGGGACGGCUAACUACGUG